rnacentral:rRNA from 1 species
CCUACGGGCGGCAGCAGUGAGGAAUAUUGGUCAAUGGACGAGAGUCUGAACCAGCCAAGUAGCGUGAAGGAUGACUGCCCUAUGGGUUGUAAACUUCUUUUAUAAAGGAAUAAAACGAGGCACGUGUGCCUGUUUGCAUGUACUUUAUGAAUAAGGAUCGGCUAACUCCGUGCCAGCAGCCGCGGUAAUACGGAGGAUCCGAGCGUUAUCCGGAUUUAUUGGGUUUAAAGGGAGCGUAGAUGGGUUGUUAAGUCAGUGGUGAAAGUUUGCGGCUCAACCGUAAAAUUGCAAUUGAUACUGGCAGUCUUGAGUACAGUUGAGGUAAGCGGAAUUCGUGGUGUAGCGGUGAAAUGCUUAGAUAGCACGAAGAACCCCGAUUGCGAAGGCAGCUUACUAAACUGUGACUGACAUUGAUGCUCGAAAGUGUGGGUAUCAAACAGGAUUAGAUACCCUUGUAGUC